rnacentral:rRNA from 1 species
GUCCACGCUGUAAACGAUGUCUGCUAGCCGUUGGGAUCCUUGAGGUUUCGGUGGCGCAGCUAACGCGAUAAGCAGACCGCCUGGGGAGUACGGCCGCAAGGUUAAAACUCAAAUGAAUUGACGGGGGCCCCGCACAAGCGGUGGAGCAUGUGGUUUAAUUCGAUGCAACGCGAAGAACCUUACCACCCCUUGACAUCCAGCGAACUGUCCAGAGAUGGACGGGUGCCUUCGGGAACGCUGAGACAGGUGCUGCAUGGCUGUCGU